rnacentral:rRNA from 2 species
UCUGGUAAUGAUGGCAGAGAGGUCACACCCGUUCCCAUACCGAAAACGGAAGUUAAGCUCUCUAGCGCCGAUGGUAGUUGGGACCUUGUCCCUGUGAGAGUAGGACGUUGCCAGGC